GCUCUCUUCAGUAGCACAUAUACUAAAAUUGGAACAACACAGAGAAGAUUAGCAUGGCCCCUGCACAAGGAGGACACAAAAAUUCAUGAAGUGUUCCAUAUUUUU